GGGAGCGGCUGCAGCACUGCCUGGGGGGCCCCAGAUGCCUCGGGGGGGGCCCUGCCCUAAGGAGGCCCCUGGGGGCCCCAGCUGCCCGUCCUGCCCCACUGCACCAGCCCAACACCAAAUGGGGCAGGGGGCAGCACCUUUCCAGGCUGCCUCUUGGACAGCAGCAGCCCCAGGCAUGUCCCAGGGGUGCCACAGCCAUGUCCACCCUGGCUGGCAAGUCCUCAAACCUGUUAUUGUGAUCCAUUAUUCUCCACGGAUGGGCAGGGCCCUCCUUGGCUCUGAGGGUGUUGAGGUAGGUCCCACAAGUGUCCCAUGUCCCCUCCAGACUUUGGCAGAGCCAGCCCCUCUCUGCCCCAAGUCCCAUGGUCUCUGGGUAGGAGCCAUGGACAGGCCUUCCCAGAGAAUCCAGCCAGGGAACUGCCUCCUCUUUGGGUUCAUGGUUUUCCCAAAGUCCAUCCUGUGAUCCUUGUCAGUCUUGGACUCCUUCCCUUCUUCCCACCCCAAAGUGAGCUCCUGCCUCUCCCCAUAAAUGCUGGGAACUCCCUCAGGCUGCAUGGUGUCUGGUCAUACAAGAGCAGUAUGUUAGAAUAAUUGAAUUAUUAAUGUUGAUAAGGUGUCUAGGAUCCUCGAGCUGACCAUUCCCCCAGCACUGCCAAGGCCAACACUAAACCAGGUCCCCAGGAGCCACAUCUACACAUCUGCUAAAUCCCUCCAGGGACAGAGACUCCAGCACUGCCCUGGACAGCCUGUGCCAGUGCCUGACAAGGCUUUCAGUGGAGAAAUUUUUCCUAAUAUCCAACCUAAGCCUCUCCUGGCACAACUUGAGGCCAUUUCCUCUGACUCUCACAUCCUUCUCUCAGCCUCUGCAGGAAGGAGUUGGUGCAAACACAGGGACCAUCUUUGUGAUGGCAGGACCACCUUUCCAGCCCUGAAAGUCUCUGUGCUCACUCACCUUGAAGUUCACGGGGUCCACCCUGAGGAUGUAAGCGUGCAGCUCGCUGAGCUUGGCCAAAGCCUUGCGGAUGUCAUCGAUGUUCCUCACAGCCUCCCCGAUGGCACUCAUGACCUUGGAGCCGUGGCCACGGAGCUGAGCUGAGCCUUGGCUCAGAUCAAAGUGAGGGAAGUAGGUUUUUGUCUGGGGGUAGCUGAAGAAAAGCCUGGAGGAGAACACGAGGAACAGGGUCAGCAGAAAAAUGGUAUGAGAUGGUAAAACCUCAGAACAAGUGCAGUGUAAACCUUCUGCAGCACAUGCAAAUUAGACAGCAGGUUUAUCUGUAUGUACUAGAGAAGAAUUAAGUGUUAAAAAUUACUAAAGAAGAAUUAAGUGUUAAAAAUUACUAAAAACUUAAUGUAGUUAUGGGUUUGGUUUUGUUUGGUUUUGUUUUAAUAAAUAAAAGCCCCAACUUGUCAUCAAA